UUAAAUUCUUUUCUUAAUAAUUCGCGAAAUAUUCCCGCAAUACGAACAAGAAUUAGUUCAAAAUGAAGAAAAAAAUAAAAACUUUUUUAGUUACAAAAAAUGUACACUCUGUAUACAAUGGGUCAUUCCUGACCCAGAGGUAAACUUCGGAAUUAUUCUAGUCAAAAGAUACGCAUGAAUUGAGGCCGGCAACGCACAAAACAUGUUCUCUAGAUGCCAAACUUUUUUUAGAAAUAGAAGAAAAACCUGUACUUAAUUAGGUACUCUCAGUAUUUCAAAGAAAAAAAAUACACAGGACACGAAUGACACAAAGCAAAAUAGAUACAUCAAGAUAUGAAGAGAUUUAACUGACUCGAAUGAAAACUAUUUUGCUAUUGAAAAGCAAGGAUCUUGCCGAAGACAAAAAAAAACAACAAAGAGCAGCUGCAAAUUCGGCAUGAUCCGUGGCAAAAGUAAAAUCUAUUCAAAAACGUUAGAUGGGGUGGAGGCAUGGAAGCUGAUCAACCAUCUCUUCAGAGGCUCUUUAGGAGCACCUUGUCAUCAUCGAGAGUACCCGAAUUAGACGUCGUAAGAGCUUUACAUCAAAGACCCAAUAACAGAUUCUGGCCUUAAGCAGUUUUGUCAAAACAAGAGCAGGAUGUCCAGCAAUCUUCGAAUGUCUUUGAAUCCUAGAAUUAUCUUGGAAUUUUUAAUAUAUCCUCAAAAACUGAAACCCCCUGCAAUGUCAGGACUAACCUGGAAUUUUUGUCAUUCUUUUAUUAAAAAAAGAGGAUCAUGAAAAAAGAAAAAAAUAAGAAAUAUUUCCCGCGCGUGCACAGGAACUAUGUUAACGACGUCUUUUGUGAUCAGAUUAGAUCAGAUUAGAUGAAGCUUUGAAAACAUAUGCAGAUAUUGAAAAUUAAAUUAAUAAUUUAAUGAAGCAUUAAUAAAUUAAUUUUGAAGUAAUGUUUGUGAUAUGUUAAAAAGAAAAGUUAUGUUUGGAUAUAAUAUCCAUUAAAGAUGCAAUAAGAUAAGU